UUAGUCAUAAGAACACUAAAAUAAAAAAAUAACUUUUUUCAAACUGCUUUUCUCAACAGCAUCUAAAAUUGUGCUUUUAUUCAGAAAAACAGUUUCAGGCUUCGAAACUCAAUGCCAAACAGGGCUAAAGUCAUUUUUGUAUAUAUAUAUAAUGAAAGUAGAAAUGUGAGUGUAUUUAUUCACUUUCCAUGCUCCCUGUUAGCUUAUAGAAACGUUUGUUUUGGGUUUGGAAAAAACACGAAAGACUUGUUAGGGUUUCAACGCAAUUAUGACCAACUCGGUUAACUUAUAAUAUGGUACUUGGUUAGUCACUAUUGCUUCAAUUUACUCCCUAACUUUGUGCAACUUUAGAUUGAAAACUAAAGCAAAGAGGGAAGACCUUCAACAACAUGGAAGCAUCUAAGAUGGGUGAAAAAAAGGGAGAGAAGGCAAGGAGCUAAAGAAAAAGGAGGAUAGAAGGGGCAUAGGAUUUCUGUUCCAAAUUCUAUGACUACCACUCAACCAAAAGUUCUUAUCCAUUGUA
rnacentral:misc_RNA from 1 species